CUUUGAAAAGCCAGAAUCCUGGUAUAGGUUACAUUUCACGUGACUAAGGUGGACUGUCCGCUCUCCACAUAUUACGUUCAGCACAGCCACAGGGGAACAUCACGAGCACAGCUAAAAUACAGGGGAAUCUGUGCUGAUUUGCGUAUCUGGCAGAGAGCAGGUUAGCGUACACUGGACUAACUGUUAUGCUAUUCUAUGCUAUGUCAUAGAGUCAACGGUCAUGUCCUUGAAGGUUAACCACACAGGAAAGCACAAGCAGGAAAGCAGGCAUUCCAGGCUGGUGUCAUGGGAGAACUGUGCACAUUUCUAAUGGACCACAAAAUGCAGUAGUGAGGGACGCUGAUCGCAGCCCAGAUAAGCCCCAUCUCCAUCUACAAUCACAGCUCCUGAGACGGAGUCCUUUCUCCCUAAUAAGUGUUCGGCGCAAAAGCGAGUGCUCGCGCCAAGUGAUGACAUCACACGAGGCCGGCGGUCUAAUCGCGUGGCGCUUCAGUCAGUGUCCAAUUAGGCCCCCUUCCCUUUCCCUCAGCCAUCAAGCCCUAUCGCGGGCCGAUGCAGAGCCCGGUCCAAACACAACAUCCUCUUGUUUCUCCUGGCACGGCUCAGCCCAGCCUCUCAUCAGCGUCUCUGGUCUCCAGCACCGACCCCUUCGCUAAAACCACCACCGUGUUUGCAUGUGCCACGUGGGUCUUGUGUAUUAUGUUUGUGUGUUGUGUGCGUGUGUGUGUG
ensembl:lncRNA